rnacentral:rRNA from 1 species
CUACGGGACGCAGCAGUGGGGAAUAUUGCACAAUGGGCGCAAGCCUGAUGCAGCCAUGCCGCGUGUAUGAAGAAGGCCUUCGGGUUGUAAAGUACUUUCAGCGGGGAGGAAGGGAGUAAAGUUAAUACCUUUGCUCAUUGACGUUACCCGCAGAAGAAGCACCGGCUAACUCCGUGCCAGCAGCUGCGGUAAUACGGAGGGUGCAAGCGUUAAUCGGAAUUACUGGGCGUAAAGCGCACGCAGGCGGGUUGUUAAGUCAGAUGUGAAAUCCCCGGGCUCAACCUGGGAACUGCAUCUGAUACUGGCAAGCUUGAGUCUCGUAGAGGGGGGUAGAAUUCCAGGUGUAGCGGUGAAAUGCGUAGAGAUCUGGAGGAAUACCGGUGGCGAAGGCGGCCCCCUGGACGAAGACUGACGCUCAGGUGCGAAAGCGUGGGGAGCAAACAGGAUUAGAUACCCUUGUAGUC